rnacentral:rRNA from 1 species
GACGAACGCUGGCGGCGCGCUUAACACAUGCAAGUCGAACGGAAUCAGGGCUUCGGCCUUGGUUCAGUGGCGAACGGGUGCGUAACACGUGAGCAACCUGCCUGGGGGUGGGGGAGUAACCCGGGGAAACCCGGGCGUAAUACCGCAUUCGCUCUUUGGGUCGAUUGACCUGAAGAGGAAAGGUGCUGCAAGGCACCGCCCGCAGAGGGGCUCGCGGCGUAUCAGCUAGCUGGUGAGGUAACGGCUCACCAGGGCGAUGACGCGUAGCCGAUCUGAGAGGAUGAUCGGCCACAUUGGGACUGAGAUACGGCCCAGACUCCUACGGGAGGCAGCAGUGGGGAAUCUUGCGC